AUGCAGUCGAGGGGCAGCAUAAAUUACUUGCUAAUUUGAUGGCGACCGGCGAACGGGUGCGUAACGCGUAUGCAACUUACCUUUUACUAGAGAAUAGCCAAGAGAAAUUUUGAUUAAUGCUCUAUGUUCUUAUUUACUCGCAUGAGUAAAUAAGCAAAGCUCCGGCGGUAAAAGAUGGGCAUGCGUCCUAUUAGCUUGUAGGUGAGGUAAUGGCUCACCUAAGCUCCGAUAGGUAGGGGUCCUGAGAGGGAGAUCCCCCACACUGGUACUGAGACACGGACCAGACUUCUACGGAAGGCAGCAGUAAGGAAUAUUGGACAAUGGAGGCAACUCUGAUCCAGCCAUGCCGCGUGAAGGAAGACGGCCUUAUGGGUUGUAAACUUCUUUUAUACAGGAAGAAACCUUUCCACGUGUGGAAAGCUGACGGUACUGUAAGAAUAAGGAUCGGCUAACUCCGUGCCAGCAGCCGCGGUAAUACGGAGGAUCCAAGCGAUAUCCGGAAUUAUUGGGUUUAAAAGGGUCCGCAGGCUGUUUGUUAAGUCAGAGGUGAAAUCCUACCGCUCAACGGUAGAACUGCCUUUGAUACUGGCAAACUUUGAGUUAUUGUGAAGUC
rnacentral:rRNA from 1 species